UACGGAGGGUGCAAACGUUAAUCGGAAUUACUGGGCGUAAAGCGUGCGUAGGCGGUUCGUUAAGUCUGUUGUGAAAGCCCCGGGCUCAACCUGGGAAUGGCAAUGGAUACUGGCGAGCUAGAGUGUGUCAGAGGAUGGUGGAAUUCCCGGUGUAGCGGUGAAAUGCGUAGAGAUCGGGAGGAACAUCAGUGGCGAAGGCGGCCAUCUGGGGACAACACUGACGCUGAGGCACGAAAGCGUGGGGAGCAAACAGG
rnacentral:rRNA from 1 species